CAUCGUCAGGGUAUUUGAUAUUAAUGCGAGUUAUGAUGUGGUAAAUAAUCCUUGUGGUUAGUAUAUUACACGUGCUUGUAUUAUUGUGUCAAAUAUGUCGGCGUGCACUUCUCCUCUAGUAGAACGUUGCGACCCGUUGAAUGUUGAUCUAUGGCCUAAUUGGUAGCCUUCGAUUUCUGUUCACAGUUAAUUGGAGAUCAUUGGUGUCCUGAUCAUCUGUUUGACGGUAUUCAAAUGGUAAUAAGUCGCAAUUUAUUUGCGUUAAAUCUGUCACAAGUGCGGUUAAUACUCAGCAGUACGGAUCUAAUGCCGUCGCAGAAAUUAACCAACUGUUAGUAGACAGUGUUCUUUAACUGGCUUAUUUACCGGUCAGCAAUGCUACUGCUUUGGGUACUUUCAGGACCCGUCUUGAAACACGGACCAAGGAGUCUAACAUGUACGCAAGUCAUUGGGAUUUUUUUAAAACAAACCUAAAGGCGUAAUGAAAGUAAAGAUUGUCUUAAGACAAUUUAGGGAAGAUAGGUUACAUCAUGAUGUAAUCUCGCAUUCCCGGGGCAUCUUAUUCUCAUU
rnacentral:rRNA from 1 species